rnacentral:misc_RNA from 1 species
GGAGGGCUCGUCAAAUUUCCAAAACCCACGAAACCUUCAUCCAUCAGGUGGCAAUCUAUUCACGGGAUCUGGAUGGUUAUCGAGCAGCGAUCAUCGAACGAAGAUCUAUCGUGGGUAGAUGGUAUCGUCGGAGAAGACAAAUCGCGGUUACCGUGAAGCAUAACGCUGGCAAAGUGGCAGGCGAGCAGGAGUCGCAGGAUUUUUCGUUCAGCAGAAGGUCGAUCGGACGCGGAAGGCGCGUGCUGGCCAGACGCGGAAGCUUGCACACAGCGUACGCGUACCAACGGGAAAACUGGAGGAAAAGAACCGACGAAGAGGUGGGCACCGAUCGAGAUUCUCA